rnacentral:misc_RNA from 1 species
AAGUCGUAACAAGGUUUCCGUAGGUGAACCUGCGGAAGGAUCAUUAUAAAAUUUUUCUACAUAUUUUUAAAAUAUGUACAAAACUUUGUAUUCAAAACCACACUCUUUAAAACCAUAUAUAAAAAAAUUUGUUUCAUAUACAUAAUUUUUUUAAAUAAAUAAUAAAAUGACAACUUUCAACAACGGAUCUCUUGGCUCUC